AUGACCUCCGGUCCAAAGGCGUUGAUCACCUUCUCCGGUGUGCCGAUCUUCUCGAUUGUUGCAUCAUCAAGGUCAUCUUGGCAGUUUCAGCAUGCUAGUCAGUACCGUGAGACAGUUACCACACUAAGAAAUGAGUAUGCCAGGAAAGAACAAUUUCUUGAGGGCUCACCUGCAAACCUACGAGUGGGCGCUACAAUGACAGAUAAUCGGCCCUCCUUGGGGUUUCCGAACCGCAGGUCGAUCUCCGUGCCACCGAGAUCAGCAAUCGACACUGGUGUCUACAUUAGAACACGAGUUUUGCAUCAGAGAUUGUGUGACCAAGCAUGUUCUGAAGACCGAAUUUCUGUCGGUAGCUCGAGUUCUCACCUCUUCCCAGCCAUCAGGAACUUUGAAGCUGUACGGGAUGAUCGGGCUCCAGCCGACUCCGUGGCCGCCAGACUUUUCGUCCGGCCUGCGGUAUGUUUUCCAACCUAUCUGAACAAAUUACAUCCUUAUGACAUGCACCAUGAGAAUAUGGAAGACUUCCUCUGA
rnacentral:rRNA from 1 species